GGUCUUUUGUUUUUAUGAGAGAUUUGGCCUGCUCGGUGUAUUAAUUAACAGCCGCGGUAACUUGACCGUGCAAAGGUAGCAUAAUCAUUAGUCUUUUAAUUGGGGACUGGCAUGAAGGGCUUGACGGGGAUUUACUAUCCUUUAGGGAAAUUAUGAAUUUCAGCUCACUGUGAAGAUGCAGUGAUGGUGUUUGGGGACGAGAAGACCCUAUAAAGCUUGAUAGGGGCUCUUGUUGGGUGGGUUUCUUAUUUCGUUGGGGCGACGGGCGUGGUUAUUAUUUAACUGUUGGUUGUAGGGGCUUCUUCUUUUAUACUUUCUUUGACCCACUAUUUGUGACGGAGGACAAGCUACUUUAGGGAUAACAGCGUAAUUAUGUCGGAGAGUACUUAUUGAUGAUGUAGUUUGCGACCUCGAUGUUGAAUUAGGAGUUCUUAAGGCCGCAGCAGGCUUUGGAGAGGGACUGUUCGACCUUUAAAUUCUUACA
rnacentral:rRNA from 1 species